UGCCUAACACAUGCAAGUCUAGCCAUUUACUUCGGUAAAGAGCGGCGGACGGGCGAGUAACGCGGGGGUAACCUGCCCUGUACACACGGAUAACAUACCGAAAGGUAUGCUAAUACGAGAUAAUAUACUUUUAUCGCAUGGGAGAAGUAUCAAAGCUCCGGCGGCACAGGAUGGACCCGCGUCUGAUUAGCUAAUUGGUAAGGGAACGGCUUACCAAGGCGACCAUCAGUAGCCGACCUGAGAGGGUGAUCGGCCACAUUGGAACUGAGACACGGUCCAAACUCCUACGGGAGGCAGCAGUGGGGAAUAUUGCACAAUGGGCGAAAGCCUGAUGCAGCAACGCCGCGUGAGCGAUGAAGGCCUUCGGGUCGUAAAGCUCUGUCCUCAAGGAAGAUAAUGACGGUACUUGAGGAGGAAGCCCCGGCUAACUACGUGCCAGCAGCCGCGGUAAUACGUAGGGGGCUAGCGUUAUCCGGAAUUACUGGGCGUAAAGGGUGCGUAGGUGGUUUCUUAAGUCAGAGGUGAAAGGCUACGGCUCAACCGCAGUAAGCCUUUGAAACUGGGAAACUUGAGUGCAGGAGAGGAGAGUGGAAUUCCUAGUGUAGCGGUGAAAUGCGUAGAUAUUAGGAGGAACACCAGUUGCGAAGGCGGCUCUCUGGACUGUAACUGACACUGAGGCACGAAAGCGUGGGGAGCAAACAGGAUUAGAUACCCUGGUAGUCCACGCCGUAAACGAUGAGUACUAGCUGUCGGACGUUACCCCCUUCGGUGGCGCAGCUAACGCAUUAAGUACUCCGCCUGGAAAGUACGCUAGCAGGAGUGAAAUUCAAAGGAAUUGACGGGGCCCCGCACAAGUAACCGGAGCAUGUGGUUUAAUUGAAGCAACGCGAAGAUCCUUACUUAAGCUUGACAUCCUUUGUGACCGAUGCCUAAUCGUAUCUUUCCAUUCGGGGACAGAAGCGACAGGUGGUGCAUGGUUGUCUUCAGCUCGUGUCGUGAGAUGUUGGGUUAAGUCCCGCAUCGAGCGCAAGCGUUGCCUUUAGUUGCCAGCACUAAGUUGGGCACUCUAGAGGGUCUGCCAGGGAUAACUUGGAGGAAGGUGGGGAUGUCGUCAAAUCAUCAUGCCCUCUAUGUUUAGGGCUACACACGCGCUACAAUGGGUGGUACAGAGGGCAGCCAAGUCGUGAGGCGGAGCUAAUCCCUUAAAGCCAUUGUCAGUUAGGACGCUAGGCUGAAACUCGCCUACAUGAAGCUGGAGUUACUAGUAAUCGCAGAUCAGAAUCCUGCGGUGAAUGCGUUCCCGGGUCUUGUACACACCGCCCGUCACACCACGGGAGUUGGGGGCGCCCGAAGCCAAGAUCGCUAACCUUUUGG
rnacentral:rRNA from 1 species